UGUUCUUUCUACUCCAGUAAUACACGAGACGUUUUCAUUUGACAUGCAGGAUGGAUCUUUUUCUCAGUGAUCUGGUUUUCUGUUUGUUUCGAACUCGUGAAAAAAGCAGGUCAAUUGGCAUGUGCAGCCUAGAAUAUGUGAAUAUGGUUACUAAGCAACCACACCACACUGAUGAUAGCAAAGACUUUAAGUGAUGGUGGUAACUAGGCUUCUGUUAUAUAUGUCAGAUCAUUAUACUGCUCACACUACACAAAGCCUAAUUAAAUGACCUGACAUCAGAAAUGAAUUGUGACCUCUGACAGCCGGGUGGAUUUAUCAGGUGUUGCUUGCUCUACCACACUACGGUUGUGUAAACACUAGAAAUGUGACUAGAAAGUCACAUUUGGAUAGACUGUACUCCUUUUAGAAAUAAAUGUCAUAAAGUUUUUAAUUGCCCUGUAAUUUGCCAGUUUACAAUGAUCUUAAUUUUUUUUUUUUGCCAUCUAUUUGAUAUUUUUCUUUUUCUAUUUCUAUGUAAGUAAAUUCUAUUUUAUGUCACCGGACAGUUGUAAAAAAAUAUUUCACUGCAUGUCGUACUGUGUAUGGUGGUUGUGUGACCAAUAAAAUUUUUAACUUGAUUUGAUUUGAUCACCAGGAGAUGUUCCGUGGUUGAGCGGUGGUACCUGGCUGACGACCCUGCAACUGACCUAUGCCAUAUGGAACCAGUGACACCAAGCAUGCAUUAAUGGUGCCAAUGGGGCUCGUCACAGACUUGGUCACUCGGAGGUCAAAUCCUCCGUUUGCAAAACGAUCAGCCAGUCUUCUCUUGGUUUUCCUGAGGUGCAGCUGAUUCCUGUGGGAAAGAACAUGAACAACCCUUGCAGUGAUGCGUGAGGAGUGAUAAGAAACAAAAACAACUCUUUAGGGCCUGCGAUUUUAAAAGUGGAACAUCUUGAAUGGCCUCAUUCUGAACUCAGCACAUGUCUCAUCCUGAUCUGAAGGACGCCUCUGUUAGCAUACUGGGGACUUCAGCUGCUGCCUGACAGAAAAACUGGCCAAGUGCUUCCUGUUUUGGGCUCCAGAUAAUGACUCCCUUAUUGGCUGCACCAAUAGCCACUCUGUUUUAUACCGCGCCACCCCCAUCCCCAUACUUUGUGGUCUUCCAUGUUCUAAAACACAUGAUCUAACUAAACAGCUCAUUAGCAAGUCUUUCGUGACUCAGUGUGAUGAGUCUCACACUCUCACAUACACAAAUGUGCAUGCCAGCAGAAUUAUGUAUGAUCUUCAGCUCCAAAAAUGCAAAUACAAUUCUGAGCACAACAGUGUGUGUGUGUGUGUGUGUGUGUGUGUGUGUGUGUGUGCGCACUCAGAAGAUGCAAAACUAUUCUCAGUGAGCUUGUAGGAGGCUGAAAGAGAUGAUUAAUUGAAACUGGCAACUUAGAGUGAAACUGCUACAGAGAGGCAGUGUGAAAUGAUCGGUACAUCGUACAUUCGACUUUCUGUUUCUGUGCACUAACAUCUACUUAUCAUUAUUUAGCUUUUUCAUGCAAACUGCAAAGAGCCAGUACAUAGCUACAAUACACUGUACACUGGCUACAUUAAACUGAAACACACACACACACACACACACACACACACACAUAAUAUAAUAUUAAUGCAGAUAAUUAAUGCUAUGCUACACCUUAACCUAACUUUAUCCUUAAUCUCAGUAAAUAAUAUGAAACCUUUUGGCUCUUUUAGUUUAGUUUUGUUGUUUUUUUUCUUCAUUUAGCUUCAGUUAAAAAAAGGUUUUCCUUGUG